rnacentral:tRNA from 1 species
GGACGAUUAGCUCAGCUGGUUAGAGCAUCACAUUGACAUUGUGGAGGUCACAGGUUCGAUCCCUGUAUCGUCCA